rnacentral:rRNA from 2 species
UACGUAGGUGGCAAGCGUUGUCCGGAAUUAUUGGGCGUAAAGCGCGCGCAGGCGGGUUUUUAAGUCUGUCUUAAAAGUUCGGGGCUUAACCCCGUGAGGGGAUGGAAACUGGAAACCUAGAGUAUCGGAGAGGAAAGCGGAAUUCCUAGUGUAGCGGUGAAAUGCGUAGAUAUUAGGAAGAACACCAGUGGCGAAGGCGGCUUUCUGGACGAAAACUGACGCUGAGGCGCGAAAGCCAGGGGAGCAAACGGG